UGGUGAUACCCUCGGGGACUAAUAGUCCACCAGCAGAGGCAUCGACCCAGUGGUAGUAAUAAAAUUAACGGUACUAAUUUUCUUGCACCAGAUGCGCAUUUCGACAAUACAUGUCUCUUCAGUGAUGCUCGUGGCCAAAAUAUUUGAAAUCCAAAGCUUAUAAAAAAGAUGAAGAGCUAUAAUCCAAAAGGUCCAAAAAGUAUAGCCAAAUCCGUGAAAGGAAUCAGAG
rnacentral:lncRNA from 1 species